AUGCUCACUUUGGCAGCUCAUAUACUAAAAUUAGAAUGAUAGAAGAUUAGCAUGGCCCCUGCACAGGGAUGACACACAAAUUCAUGAGGCAGUUCAUAGUAAA
ensembl:snRNA U6 U6 spliceosomal RNA